UGGGGAAUUUUGGACAAUGGGCGAAAGCCUGAUCCAGCAAUGCCGCGUGUGUGAAGAAGGCCUUCGGGUUGUAAAGCACUUUUGUCCGGAAAGAAAUCCUCUGGGUUAAUACCUCGGGGGGAUGACGGUACCGGAAGAAUAAGCACCGGCUAACUACGUGCCAGCAGCCGCGGUAAUACGUAGGGUGCAAGCGUUAAUCGGAAUUACUGGGCGUAAAGCGUGCGCAGGCGGUUUUGUAAGACGGAUGUGAAAUCCCCGGGCUUAACCUGGGAACUGCAUUCGUGACUGCAAGGCUAGAGUAUGGCAGAGGGGGGUAGAAUUCCACGUGUAGCAGUGAAAUGCGUAGAGAUGUGGAGGAAUACCGAUGACGAAGGCAGCCCCCUGGGCCAAUACUGACGCUCAUGCACGAAAGCGUGGGGAGCAAACAGGAUUAGAUACCCUGGUAGUCCACGCCCUAAACGAUGUCAACUAGUUGUUGGGGAUUCAUUUCCUUAGUAACGUAGCUAACGCGUGAAGUUGACCGCCUGGGGAGUACGGUCGCAAGAUUAAAACUCAAAGGAAUUGACGGGGUCAUAGCUGUUUCCU
rnacentral:rRNA from 1 species